rnacentral:rRNA from 1 species
UACGAAGGGGGCUAGCGUUGCUCGGAAUCACUGGGCGUAAAGCGCACGUAGGCGGAUCUUUAAGUCAGGGGUGAAAUCCCGGAGCUCAACUCCGGAACUGCCUUUGAUACUGGGGAUCUUGAGUUCGGAGAGGAGUGUGGUGAACUGCGAGUGUAGAGGUGAAAUUCGUAGAUAUUCGCAAGAACACCAGUGGCGAAGGCGGCUCACUGGCCGU